rnacentral:rRNA from 1 species
UACGUAGGGGGCUAGCGUUGUCCGGAAUCAUUGGGCGUAAAGAGCGUGUAGGCGGUCCGGUAAGUCCGCUGUGAAAGUCGGGGGCUCAACCCUCGAAUGCCGGUGGAUACUGUCGGGCUAGAGUGCGGAAGAGGCGAGUGGAAUUCCUGGUGUAGCGGUGAAAUGCGCAGAUAUCAGGAAGGAACACCCGUAGUCGAAGGCGUCUCUGGGACGUAACUGACGCUGAGACGCGAAAGCGUGGGGAGCAAACAGGAUUAGAACUACCGAGUCA